GAUGAAGAACGUAGCGAAAUGCGAUAAGUAGUGUGAAUUGCAGAAUUCAGUGAAUCAUCGAAUCUUUGAACGCACAUUGCGCCCCUUGGUAUUCCAUGGGGCAUGCCUGUUCGAGCGUCAUUGUACCUUCAAGCUUUGCUUGGUGUUGGGUGUUUGUCUCGCCUUUGCGUGUAGACUCGCCUUAAAAUAAUUGGCAGCCGGCGUAUUGAUUUCGGAGCGCAGUACAUCUCGCGCUUUGCACUCAUAACGACAGCGUCCAAAAGUACAUUUUACACUCUUGACCUCGGAUCAGGUAGGGAUACCCGCUGAACUUAAGCAUAUCAAUAAGCGGAGGA
rnacentral:misc_RNA from 1 species